GUAUAAGAGACAGCAGUAGCCGCGGUAAUACGAAGGGUGCAAGCGUUACUCGGAAUUACUGGGCGUAAAGCGCGCGUAGGUGGUUUGUUAAGUUGGAUGUGAAAUCCCCGGGCUCAACCUGGGAACUGCAUCCAAAACUGGCAAGCUAGAGUAUGGUAGAGGGUGGUGGAAUUUCCUGUGUAGCGGUGAAAUGCGUAGAUAUAGGAAGGAACACCAGUGGCGAAGGCGACCACCUGGACUGAUACUGACACUGAGGUGCGAAAGCGUGGGGAGCAAACAGGAUUAGAUACCCCAGUAGUCCCUGUCUCUUAUAC
rnacentral:rRNA from 1 species